GAUGAACGCUAGCUACAGGCUUAACACAUGCAAGUCGAGGGGAAACGACAUCGAAAGCUUGCUUUUGAUGGGCGUCGACCGGCGCACGGGUGAGUAACGCGUAUCCAACCUGCCCACCACUUGGGGAUAACCUUGCGAAAGUAAGACUAAUACCCAAUGACGUCUCUAGAAGACAUCUGAAAGAGAUUAAAGAUUUAUCGGUAUGGGAUGGGGAUGCGUCUGAUUAGCUUGUUGGCGGGGUAACGGCCCACCAAGGCGACGAUCAGUAGGGGUUCUGAGAGGAAGGUCCCCCCACAUUGGAACUGAGACACGGUCCAAACUCCUACGGGAGGCAGCAGUGAGGAAUAUUGGUCAAUGGGCGCAAGCCUGAACCAGCCAAGUAGCGUGAGGGAAGACUGCCCUACGGGUUGUAAACCUCUUUUGUUUGGGAAUAAAGUGCGGGACGUGUCCCGCAUUGCAUGUACCAUUUGAAUAAGGACCGGCUAAUUCCGUG
rnacentral:rRNA from 1 species